rnacentral:rRNA from 1 species
GAUGAACGCUGGCGGCGUGCCUAACACAUGCAAGUCGAGCGAAGCGGGGACGGGUGAGUAACACGUGGAUACCCUUCUCUAGGGCUGGGAUAACUUCGGGAAACCUGAUCCCAAUCCGAUACUUAUACGUGGUUCCGCGCUGCAUUAGCUAGUUGGUAGGGUAACGGCUUACCAAGGCAACGAUGUGUAGCCGACCUGAGAGGGUGAUCAGCCACACUGGAACUGAGACACGGUCCAGACUCCUACGGGAGGCAGCAGUAGGGAAUCUUCCGCAAUGGGCGAAAGCCUGACGGAGCAACGCCGCGUGUGUGAUGAAGGUCUUCGGAUCGUAAAGCUCUGUUAUUAGGGAAGCGGUACCUAAUGAGAAAGCCACGGCUAACUACGUGCCAGCAGCCGCGGUAAUAC